ACCUACGGGGGGCAGCAGUAGGGAAUCUUCCACAAUGGACGAAAGUCUGAUGGAGCAACGCCGCGUGAGUGAAGAAGGGUUUCGGCUCGUAAAGCUCUGUUGGUAGUGAAGAAAGAUAGAGGUAGUAACUGGCCUUUAUUUGACGGUAAUUACUUAGAAAGUCACGGCUAACUACGUGCCAGCAGCCGCGGUAAUACGUAGGUGGCAAGCGUUGUCCGGAUUUAUUGGGCGUAAAGCGAGUGCAGGCGGUUCAACAAGACUGAUGUGAAAACCUUCGGCUCAACCGGGGAAUUGCAUCAGAAACU
rnacentral:rRNA from 1 species